UGUUUUAGAUGCCCAGGUCUGUUCUCCUGGUCUGAGGAGACUGGGACUUAACAGUUCAAUGACCUUUAAUUCAAAGUGCCAGGACUGUUAGCUCUCUUUGCCAGUGGAAAAGUGCUACAGGGCUGUGGGGACAUGAAGUUUCAAGAAUAGGGCAGAGAUCAUCACAGAGUGACCACAGAGAGCUUAUACGGGCCCUUCAACCUUUGAUGAAAUUGAAAUUUGAAGUCUAGAAGGUUUCAAAUACUUUAAUUCACGUAUAAGGAUGCUGAAGCCCAGGAAAGUGAAGUCAACAUCUUUCAGCAUCCCAGGGAAUCUAAAGUGUCAUUUCCUCUCUGGAAGAAAGGAAGCACAAAACAUGCUGGGUAUGUACUCUAAAUUUUCACUCAGUGUCAGUUCUAACUAUAAAUUUCUCCCAAGUCCUGUAUCUCUCUCAUUCUUUUUCCCCAACCCUCUCCAAAUCUUACAUCAAUACCUUUCUUUUAAAGUUAGGAUGCAGGAUUUUUACAGGAUGACACAUAUUAAAUUAAAAUAAAGCUGUGACUGUAAAACAAAUUACCUUCUAUCCACCCCCAAUUCCUUUAAUCUAUUGCUUUCCACUGGAUUAUGUUCUGUAAGUGAUUUUGUUGUAAUGGUUAGUUUUGUUUUCAGGAAAAUCACAUUUUGCAAAUAAUGAGA
rnacentral:lncRNA from 1 species